rnacentral:rRNA from 1 species
GACGAACCGAGCGAACGUUGUUCGGAAUCACUGGGCUUAAAGGGCGCGUAGGCGGACUGCCGCGUCCGGGGUGAAAUCCCACGGCUCAACCGUGGAACGGCCCCGGAUACGGGCGGUCUCGAGGGAGGUAGGGGCAUGCGGAACUACGGGUGGAGCGGUGAAAUGCGUUGAUAUCCGUGGGAACUCCGGUGGCGAAGGCGGCGUGCUGGACCUCACCUGACGCUGAGGCGCGAAAGCCAGGGGAGCAAACGGGG